GACGAACGCUGGCGGCGUGCUUAACACAUGCAAGUCGAACGGAAAGGCCCUGCUUUUGUGGGGUGCUCGAGUGGCGAACGGGUGAGUAACACGUGAGUAACCUGCCCUUGACUUUGGGAUAACUUCAGGAAACUGGGGCUAAUACCGGAUAGGAGCUCCUGCUGCAUGGUGGGGGUUGGAAAGUUUCGGCGGUUGGGGAUGGACUCGCGGCUUAUCAGCUUGUUGGUGGGGUAGUGGCUUACCAAGGCUUUGACGGGUAGCAGGCCUGAGAGGGUGACCGGCCACAUUGGGACUGAGAUACGGCCCAGACUCCUACGGGAGGCAGCAGUGGGGAAUAUUGCACAAUGGGCGGAAGCCUGAUGCAGUAACGCCGCGUGCGGGAUGACGGCCUUCGGGUUGUAAACCGCUUUCGCCUGUGACGAAGCGUGAGUGACGGUAAUGGGUAAAGAAGCACCGGCUAACUACGUG
rnacentral:rRNA from 1 species